rfam:Xanthomonas oryzae pv. oryzae KACC10331, complete genome.
AUGUACCAACUCGUACACUGCGGUUCUGAGCGCGCCGUCCGCGCCCACCUGACAGCUGCUCGCUUCGUUUUGUGAGCC